rnacentral:tRNA from 1 species
GCCACCUUAGCUCAGUUGGUAGAGCACCGAUUUUGUAAAUCGGAUCGCGUCAGUUCGAAUCUGACAGGUGGCU